rnacentral:rRNA from 1 species
UACGGGGGGGGCAAGCGUUGUUCGGAAUUACUGGGCGUAAAGGGCUCGUAGGUGGCCAACUAAGUCAGACGUGAAAUCCCCAGGCUCAACUUGGGAACUGCGUCUGAUACUGGAUGGCUUGAAUUCGGGAGAGGGAUGCAGAAUUCCAGGUGUAGCGGUGAAAUGCGUAGAUAUCUGGAGGAAUACCGGUGGCGAAGGCGGCAUCCUGGACCAACACUGACGCUGAGGAGCGAAAGCCAGGGGAGCAAACGGG